ensembl:lncRNA LINC02395 long intergenic non-protein coding RNA 2395
GGGGCUGCUGAGGAAGGCCACAGGGGCUAAGGAGGAUUUCCUCAGAGCUUUUGGGAAGCUAUACGUUCCUGGCCCCGAGGUAAAGCUCCCACAGGCUGCUUGACCCAACAGAGCAGCUCCUACCCACUGGGAUUCUCGGUCUGCAGGAAUCUGGCAUCCACCUGGGGAGCAUCUGGCUGAGGCAGCCUGGAGACAGGCACGCACCAGAAGACUUCUGGUUCCAUCCAGGCCCAAGGACCACUGAACUGGAGCGGUCUUCUCCAUCCCCCAGCAAGCCUGUGCGUGAGCUGGGGACAAGGGGCAGAGGAGGCAGAGGUCCCCCUCACACCAGGAAGGGAACAGCGCCACUAAAGGGCCUGGUGGAGGCAGGGUGGAGGUGGAAGGAGACUCAGCAGAAGGGAUGAGGAAACUGAGGCUGAGAGGGUAGAGAACUUUGCCUGAGGUCACUCAGCAGGGACCCACCCAUCACAGUAAAUGCCAGCACUGCUGAUGCCAAAACAAUGUUAUUUGUAGGCCCUCGGAAUUUGUGACCUGAAGGAAGAAGAGCAGGGCCGUGGGAAGUAUGUAACCAGUGUCAUGCCCCUGGUCCCAAGGAAGCAGUGGCUUGGUAAAGAGGGGACCCCCGUCAAUAACUCCCUGUAAUUACUGGGCACCCACUCUGAGCUCCUCAGUGGAAUCCUAAGGUUAAUAAGACUGUCUCUAGCCACUGGGGCUCCCAGCCUGGAGUGAGUGAGCCCGGUGCCCCCCCGGGCCUCCUCAGUGAGCUGAGGAGGCUCAGCAGUGCCUGCACGUCCCCUCGCCACAAUGUCAUGUGCCACCUCUUCAAAGGAGGGAUGUACCAGCUAGUGGACGUGACCUUGACUGCAAAGGGCGGCACGCAGCUGAUGUAAUGGUCGCUUAAGUGUUCACAAAUGCCUGAACACCCUGUCCUACCUGGUCCUACCUGGAUGCUGGCCUCAGUAAGCUCCUGGGCUCAUUGAAGAUGAACCUAGCAGUAGUAUUUACACCACUUGUUGUGUGCCCACUGUGGGCCCGGCGCCAUGCCGAGUGCUCUAUGGAUGUGAGAUGAGAACACUGAAGCAGUUUUUUCUAAAGAUAGCUGCCUGGCACAGUGGCUCACAUCUGUAGUCCCAGCAUUUGGGGAGGCCAAGGCAGGUGGAUCACUUGAGGCCAGGAAUUCAAGACCAGCAUGGCCAACAUGUGCUGGGAGAGAAAAGCAUACGACAUAGACAGGGAGGUCAAGCUCCACCACGCAGAUGAGGUGCAGGCCACCAGUCUUCCUCUGCCACAUCUCUUUCUGAAAAGGCAGCCUGUGCUGAGAAACCAUGACUGAGUAAGCCAAGCUUUGUUGGCCGCACCUGCCAAGCCACAGGGUGCCUCAGGCUUGGAGCAUCCCGGAGCCAGUUACAACCCAAGACUUCAGCCUUCUGGAAGGUGUUGGGUCAGCCACCCUGAAGGACGAUCCUGCCCAAGUGACAUGCUUUGCUCUUCCUUCUCACCCAGGACUUCACAUUCACCCUUGCAAUCCAUGUGGGGACACUGUUGGAUAGGAGGCGUGGUCCCAGCGUGGUCUCCCUGUCUGGGCCUCUGCCUAUGCCAAAUGUUUGCCUUACGCUGCACACUCAAGAGGUUCCAUGUAUACAGAUGGGAAUUCCAGAGCUACAGAAAAGGCAGCAAGCACCAUGAUUUAAGCUAACCAGUGUGGAUUCACACCUUCCUCUCUCUCUAUCAGUGGCAGAACUACCAGCUAGAGUAAGAAGUGGUUGAUCCAGGACCUAAACAUUCUGGAAACUCUUGCCCACUUCUGGGAGAAAUGACCCAAUCCAUAGUACUAAGCACACCUUAACUUUCGUAGGACGCAGGCAAGUUGUCAUACCGUGUGCCUAAAUAUAGAAAAAUGAUCCACUGGACUAAUAAAGUGUUAAAUAAAA